rnacentral:sRNA from 1 species
UAACAUAAAGCAUCAUGGCGGAAAGUGGCGACCAAACACUAUCACAAGAUGGUACACAUUCAUCUAUGUUAUUAAAAGAUUACAUUAAACCAACGGACGAUCCUUAUAAUAAAGCAAUCAGUUAUUUAGAAAAGCACAACAUUUUACAACUUUUCCAGACUCUAACCACAGAAGUAAUAUACCACAGGCCUACAGACCCAUUAGAAUACCUGAUACAAGAAGUACAAAGAUUAAAACAAGAACAGGACAACCAACAGCCCAAAUCUUAAUUGGCAAUGUAGAUAUCUUUGCUAUAACAUUUAUCACCAUGCAAAUAUAGUUAUUUUACUUUUUAUUUUACCUGGUCACUGACUGCUGCAAUAUUUUUUGUGUUUUUAAUGUAUUUGAAAUGCCUUAAUUAUAAGUGAUUGGGAAACUUUAUUGUAUGCAACUUUUUUAAAUGUAAUCGUUAAUAGUUUAUUACAUUAUUGUUAUAACAUAAGAUUGAUCAAUUAGAUUUUACAUUGUAUUAAAAUGCCAUAUUUUUGUAUGGAAAUUGAAUGGAAACCAAAUUAAAACCAAGAAAUUAAAUAAAAUAAAUUCAGAUAUCUUUCUAAAUAAUUUUUCUUAGCUUCUGCAUAAUUUUGAUUUCUAAGCGUUAUUAGAUUUAUACUGAAUUUUUGUUGUUCUUAAAUGUAGUGGUUCUUUUUAAAUAUCCAAAAUAAAUUAUAAAGUAAGCACUGA